rnacentral:lncRNA from 1 species
CCGGGCUCUCAGGCCAUAGAGAAAUAAAAGGCCAGAUUGGACUCGUAAGGAGAAAAACAAAUGCUGAAAAUUCUCAUGAGUUUAGAAAUGCAAAAUUGUGGGGGACUAUAUAGGAUGGGUGCUGGGGACCAUCAUAGGGUUGUGAGGCUUGGGGAACAUGGUACAGGAAAUAAUAUAAUAUUCUAGAAUAAUGUGUUAAUGUGUGUGUACCUGAAAAGAUAUGUCUAGUAUUUAUAGGCAAAUUUGUUUCCCAAUCUAUGUUAGCAGAUGAAGCUUCAUGAGCAAAAUACGGGCUAUCCAAUUUGUAAGCCUACUCUUUAAAGAAUCGCAAUGAUUGCCAAUACAAAGCAUCUGGCAAACUUGUCACCUCAUAUGAGCAUAGAGUUUCAACCUCGUACAAAAUGAUAAACCUGUUAGAUCAUUAUGACCAUAUGGAAAAGAAACCCAGAAAUAUAUAUUGAAAAACAAAAGCCACAAUAUAUCAAGAACCAAAACAAAUAAUCACUAAGUAUAUGCAACCAAAUUAUAUCAACAGGCAACAUACCACAUCCCAACUAAACAUCCAAUUACAUUGGAAAACCAAAAUCACAAUGAAUCAGUCAUCAAAAUGAACAAUCAAAUUAAAUCCACAUACAACACAUAUCAACAAACCAGCCAAAUACAUUGUAAAACAAACCACAAUGAAUUGAUCAUCAAAAAGAUCAAUCACUAAGUAAAUGCAACCAAAUUAGAUUCACGUACAACUAACACAUCUCAACAAACCAGCCAUAGACAAUGGAAACAAAAACCGUGAUAGAUUGAUAAUCUAAAUGAACAAAUUACCAAGUAAAUGCAACAAUAGUAAAUCUACGAACACACAACACAUCUCAACAAACUAGUCAAAUACAUUGUACAACAAACCACAAUAAACUGAUCAUCAAAAUGAACAAUUCACAAAGUAAAUGCAACCAAAAUUAGAUCAACGAAAAAUUGGAGCAUCUCAACAAACUAGCCAAAUACAUUGGUAAACAAAAACGACAAUGAAUUGAUAAUCAAAAUGAACAAUCGCCAAGUAAAUGCAAAAAUAAAAAAUAAAUAAUUACAUCCACGAACAACACAAAACAUCUCAACAAACCAGCGAAAUACAUUGGGAAACAAAGACCACAAUGAAUUGAUCAUCAAAUGACCAAUCAGUAAAUAAAUGCAACCAAGUCAAAUCCACCGGCAAAACACUACACAACUCUACAACAUAAAGAAACUCAAAAAUGGACAGCAAUCCAAAGUAUAAGAGGAAAUUUGUAUAUUGAUAACAAACAAUUGAGAACAAAGACCACAGCAAAUCAAUCAUCAAAAUGAAAACUCACUUAGUAAAUAUAACCAAAUUAUAUCCACGGAAAACACAAGACUACAAGAAAACUAUCAUUCCCUCACGAGCAACAACUCUCACAAAUUGAAUCAGAGGAAUAAAAGUAAUAAAUCAAAAGAAAAUCACAGUUACCAUAAAAUAAAAAAAUCACAAAAUUCUAG